CAUCUAAGGGACUGAGUU
rnacentral:snRNA from 1 species